GAUGAACGCUGGCGGCGUGCCUAAUACAUGCAAGUCGAGCGAACAGACGAGGAGCUUGCUCCUCUGACGUUAGCGGCGGACGGGUGAGUAACACGUGGAUAACCUACCUAUAAGACUGGGAUAACUUCGUGAAACCGGAGCUAAUACCGGAUAAUAUAUUGAACCGCAUGGUUCAAUAGUGAAAGACGGUUUUGCUGUCACUUAUAGAUGGAUCCGCGCCGCAUUAGCUAGUUGGUAAGGUAACGGCUUACCAAGGCAACGAUGCGUAGCCGACCUGAGAGGGUGAUCGGCCACACUGGAACUGAGACACGGUCCAGACUCCUACGGGAGGCAGCAGUAGGGAAUCUUCGGCAAUGGGCGAAAGCCUGACGGAGCAACGCCGCGUGAGUGAUGAAGGUCUUCGGAUCGUAAAACUCUGUUAUUAGGGAAGAACAAAUGUGUAAGUAACUAUGCACGUCUUGACGGUACCUAAUCAGAAAGCCACGGCUAACUACGUG
rnacentral:rRNA from 1 species